GGUCCUGUGCUUUGUUUUAAAAGACUGUUUCAUUGAGGAAUGCCUUCCAGUACAAAAUGACAAAUGCCUCCAAGUCUCAAGAAAACACUUUUUUUUGUAGCCAAAUGACUAUUAGAUAUCUCAGAUCUUUUCUGUGGCCUGGUCAUAUAGCCAGGGUUAUACAGAAAUUAAUGAUUUUCUACUCAAAUAAGGUAACUGAGUGAAGAAGUGAAGGUUUAAAUCAGAAGCCAUUCCUUU